rnacentral:tRNA from 1 species
GCCUGGGUGGCGGAAUAGGUAGACGCAAGGGACUUAAAAUCCCUCGGUAUCUGAUACCGUGCCGGUUCGAUUCCGGCCCUAGGCACCA